rnacentral:rRNA from 1 species
AUAUGAAUAAGGAUCGGCUAACUCCGUGCCAGCAGCCGCGGUAAUACGGAGGAUCCGAGCGUUAUCCGGAUUUAUUGGGUUUAAAGGGAGCGUAGGUGGACUGGUAAGUCAGUUGUGAAAGUUUGCGGCUCAACCGUAAAAUUGCAGUUGAUACUGUCAGUCUUGAGUACAGUAGAGGUGGGCGGAAUUCGUGGUGUAGCGGUGAAAUGCUUAGAUAUCACGAAGAACUCCGAUUGCGAAGGCAGCUCACUGGACUGCAACUGACACUGAUGCUCGAAAGUGUGGGUAUCAAACAGGAUUAGAUACCCUGGUAGUCCACACAGUAAACGAUGAAUACUCGCUGUUUGCGAUAUACAGUAAGCGGCCAAGCGAAAGCAUUAAGUAUUCCACCUGGGGAGUACGCCGGCAACGGUGAAACUCAAAGGAAUUGACGGGGGCCCGCACAAGCGGAGGAACAUGUGGUUUAAUUCGAUGAUACGCGAGGAACCUUACCCGGGCUUAAAUUGCAGUGGAAUGAUGUGGAAACAUGUCAGUGAGCAAUCACCGCUGUGAAGGUGCUGCAUGGUUGUCGUCAGCUCGUGCCGUGAGGUGUCGGCUUAAGUGCCAUAACGAGCGCAACCCUUAUCUUCAGUUACUAACAGGUCAUGCUGAGGACUCUGGAGAGACUGCCGUCGUAAGAUGUGAGGAAGGUGGGGAUGACGUCAAAUCAGCACGGCCCUUACGUCCGGGGCUACACACGUGUUACAAUGGGGGGUACAGAAGGCAGCUAGCGGGUGACCGUAUGCUAAUCCCAAAAGCCUCUCUCAGUUCGGAUCGAAGUCUGCAACCCGACUUCGUGAAGCUGGAUUCGCUAGUAAUCGCGCAUCAGCCACGGCGCGGUGAAUACGUUCCCGGGCCUUGUACACACCGCCCGUC